UACGUAGGGGGCAAGCGUUGUCCGGAAUCAUUGGGCGUAAAGAGCGCGUAGGCGGCCCUGUAAGUCCGCUGUGAAAGUCAAGGGCUCAACCCUUGGAUGCCGGUGGAUACUGCAGGGCUAGAGUCCGGAAGAGGCGAGUGGAAUUCCUGGUGUAGCGGUGAAAUGCGCAGAUAUCAGGAGGAACACCGGUGGCGAAGGCGGGUCUCUGGACAGUUCCUGACACUGAGGCACGAAGGCCAGGGGAGCAAACGGG
rnacentral:rRNA from 1 species